GGACGACGUCCUUCUUCAGGCAUUUUACGGCGUAGACGCACUCGGUGCCGCGAAGCUCCGCCAGCAGGACUUUGCCGAAGCUGCCCUUGCCGAGAACCUGCAUCAGCGAGGAAUAAUCACACCGCCAGGGCACCUGACGUGAGCAUUGAACUCCGACACGACUCGCUUGGUCGAUUACGGGGAUGGCAGUUAUAGGGUGAAUUCGAAAACGACGCCGUUUCAGAAGCUGGGUCACACGCUAUCGUAUACCUGCCAGACGCUACUCGCGCUGCGAGUACAACGACGCAAUCGAUACGUAAUAGGAACGCUUUGAGUUUUUAAAAGGUAUACCUUGAGGAAAUUGAAAUCGGUGACCUCGUACUUCUUGAACCUGGGCAAAUUCGUCGCCGGUGGUGUUAUCCGGCCGCUGUGAUGAUAGUGUUCGCCAUCUGCGUUCCUCUGGUUCUCGGACGAUUGUGACGGUGCUGUCGGAUAAGCGAAUAAAUUAUUACUUUCAAAAAUCGUAAACUCAUUAUCAUAUACAGGGUUAGAUUCCCAAUCGAGUCAAUGAUUUUACUUUGAUUCCAUUAUAAGUGUAAUAAAAUAAAAAUAAAAUAUUGCAAACA